rnacentral:rRNA from 1 species
UGAACCUGGUUGAUCCUGCCAGUAGUCAUAUGCUUGUCUCAAAGAUUAAGCCAUGCAUGUCUAAGUAUAAGCAACUAUACGGUGAAACUGCGAAUGGCUCAUUAAAUCAGUUAUCGUUUAUUUGAUAGUACCUUACUACAUGGAUAACCGUGGUAAUUCUAGAGCUAAUACAUGCUAAAAACCUCGACUUCGGG